CUCCCGCCUCUCAGCUGAUCGGCGGGUGGGCGGGGCUUCCACGGAGGCCUCCGUGUAGGCCACAGUGAAGCCUGAACUCGAGUAGGGCCCAAGCCAGCCAGGAAGGAGGAGGCAGCCAGAGUGUUCUCUGCAGCAGAAGACCCCUUGCUGCCCUGCUUAACCCAGACCAGCAUUUGCCAGUUUGUGGAUAGGGAUGCUGUCAAGAGAGUGGAACAUCCUGCCCAAAAGAACUGCACCUGACCCCUUCAUUGCUUGCUUUUUGGAAAACAGCAAAGUCUUUUCUUUCCCAGCAGGCCCUGCUGCCAGUUUUGUUAGCUGAGAGCAUGCUGCAUGGCUCCUUGGAGCGCGCAGACUUCACCAUGAUGCAAGCUUUUAUUUUCUGAACUACAACUUAAGACUGAAGAUGUACUGAGCCUCCUAACGCCAGACAGGAAGAAAGGCAUAGGAGCUACAAACAGUCUCAGAUAUUCACAACAUCCCUGUGCCUUUUAUCUACAGUAAGUUGUAAAGAAUGGUGAAGAAAGGCAAAAUUAUUCAGUACAAUAGUCUGUGAUCACCCUCUCAAUAUAUUCUGUAGGACAGUAAAUGAAAGAGAAUGUGUAAAAUAUUCACCCAUUAUAUUUGCAUGUAAAACCAAGAGCAGGAAUACGAUAAAUCAAGGCUUUUGGUUUGUUUUACAUUUUCCUUCUCUAAGAUGAUGAAUGAUCAGAAAAGAGAAUCAAAUACAUUGUUAGAACAGUUCAAUUGAACUAGCCUUUUCAAAAACAAAUAUCUAUCCAUGGCAGAUCCAGGCUGGUAAAAGUACCAUUCAAAUGCCAUGACACUACAGGAG